AUCACUAAGCGGAGGAAAAGAAACUAACAAGGAUUCCCCUAGUAGCGGCGAGCGAACCGGGAGAAGCCCAGCUUGAGAAUCGCGCCGUCUCGGGCGGCGCGAGUUGUAGUCUGGAGAAGUGUCCUCUGCAGCGGACCUGGCCUAAGUCCCCUGGAAAGGGGCGUCAGAGAGGGUGAGAACCCCGUCGGGCCGGGAGCCUGCUGCUCCACGAGGCGCUGUCUACGAGUCGGGCUGUUUGGGAAUGCAGCCCUAAGCGGGAGGUAAAUUCCUUCCAAGGCUAAAUACAGGCGGGAGACCGAUAGCGAACAAGUACCGCGAGGGAAAGAUGAAAAGGACUUUGAAAAGAGAGUUAAAAAGUGCUUGAAAUUGCUGGGAGGGAAGCGAAUGGAGGCCUCGUGUGCGCCCCGGUCGGAUGCGGAACGGCGUGAAGCUGGUCCGCCGCUCGACGCGGGGCGCUGGUCGGCGUGGGCUCCUCGGGCGGGAUAAAAGUCGGCCUUUGUGGCCGGCCGAUGCCGUCGGAGGGGCCGAGGAACCGAAGUGCGCGCCCUUGCGGGGGCGGCGCUUCUCGGGCACCUGCGCACUCGGGACGCCGGCGUAGUGGGCUU
rnacentral:rRNA from 1 species